GCCAUGCUACAACAGAAGGAUUAAAGAAUUCAUAUGUAGGGGCAUCUUUUCCUGAGAAGAAGUUGGCCGGUAAGAUCCCUGGUUUAAUUAACUCAUCUGUUAGAUCUUCAUCGAAUCGGCCGGUGGUUGAGUCAAAACAAGGAGGGAGUUCGAAGAUUGAGUCAUCUCUCCGAUAAGGGAACCGGAUGGUUACAUCUUCAUUGAAGCCGUGGUAGAAGCACC
rnacentral:lncRNA from 1 species